rnacentral:lncRNA from 1 species
UUCAAAAUUUCUUUAGUAGUGACCAGUAUGUUGACCAGUUCAGAUAUGGUGCAAUCAAGUUUGUUCAUAUAAAAAUUUAAAAUAAAUUGACUAUAUAAACUCGUAAGGGAUUCAAAGAUUAAAUCCAUCUAUAAUUCCUUUCAUAUAUUAAGCCCAAACUUCUAAAGCUCUUCAAUGUCUUUGAUCACUGUCAAAUAGUGUUCAUGGACUAACUGCCCUUCAUGUAUCUUUAG